rnacentral:rRNA from 1 species
GAUGAACGCUGGCGGCGUGCCUAAUACAUGCAAGUCGAGCGAACAGACGAGGAGCUUGCUCCUCUAACGUUAGCGGCGGACGGGUGAGUAACACGUGGAUAACCUACUUAUAAGACUGGGAUAACUUCGGGAAACCGGAGAUAAUACCGGAUAAUAUAUCGAACCGCAUGGAUCAAUAGUGAAAGACGGUUUUGCUGUCACUUAUAGAUGGUUCCGCGCCGCAUUAGCUAGUUGGUAAGGUAACGGCUUACCAAGGAAACGAUGCGUAGCCGACCUGAGAGGGUGAUCGGCCACACUGGAACUGAGACACGGUCCAGACUCCUACGGGAGGCAGCAGUAGGGAAUCUUCCGCAAUGGGCGAAAGCCUGACGGAGCAACGCCGCGUGAGUGAUGAAGGUCUUCGGAUCGUAAAGCUCUGUUAUUAGGGAAGAACAAAUGUGUAAGUAACUAUGCACGUCUUGACGGUACCUAAUCAGAAAGCCACGGCUAACUACGUG